AAGUUGUUGCGGUUAAAAGCUCGUAGUUCGAGCUCAGUUCCGGACUGGCCGGGGAGGUCACCGCCCGGUGCUUCCCCGUCAGGCUCCGAACAGCCUUCGUGAGCGGAGGCCAAGCCGGUUCUGCCGGGGUGCUCUUUACCGAGUGUCCCGCGCGGCCGGCCAGUUCACCUUGAAUAAAUGAGAGUGCUCAAAGCAGGCUACUCUCGAAUACAAUGCCCGAAUGUUACCUGCAUGGAAUGAUGGAAGAUGAUCUCGGUUCCAUUUUAUUGGUGGUGGGAGCCCGAGGUAAUGAUAAACAGGGACUGUCGGGGGCAUCCGUACUACGACGCGAGAGGUGAAAUUCAGUGACCGUCGUAGGACGAACAACAGCGAAAGCAUUUGCCAAGAAUGUCUUCGUUGAUCAAGAACGAAAGUUAGAGGAUCGAAGGCGAUCAGAUACCGCCCUAGUUCUAACCCUAAACGAUGCUGACUAGCAAUUCGCCGUCGUUAUUCCCAUGACGUGGCGAGACGCCCCCGGGAAACCUCAAGUCUUUGAGUUCCGGGGGUAGUAUGGUUGCAAAACUGAAACUUAAAGGAAUUGACGGAAGGGCACCACCAGGAGUGGAGCCUGCGGCUUAAUUUGACUCAACACGGGAAACCUCACCAGGCCCGGACACCAGAAGGAUUGACAGAUUAAGAGCUCUUUCUCGAUUUGGUGGGUGGUGGUGCAUGGCCGUUCUUAGUUGGUGGAGUGAUUUGUCUGGUUAAUUCCGGUAACGAACGAGACUCUGGCCUACUAAAUAGUCGACGGGCGUUUUGGUGCAUGGGCCCCGUUCGACACAGUCUUCUUAGAGGGAUGAGCAGCGAGUAUAGCUGCAGGAGAUUGAGCAAUAACAGGUCUGUGAUGCCCUUAGAUGUCCUGGGCCGCACGCGCGCUACACUGAAUGGGUUAGCGGGUUGUCCUUCUCCGAGAGGAGCGGGAAAUCGCUUGAAAACCAUUCGUGAUAGGGAUUGGGGCUUGCAAUUGUUUCCCAUGAACGAGGAAUUCCCAGUAAGCGCAAGUCAUCAGCUUGCGUUGAUUAAGUCCCUGCCCUUUGUACACACCGCCCGUCGCUACUACCGAUUGAAUGAUUUAGUGAGGCCUUCGGACUGGCGGUCUUGGACUGGGGCGCCGGCGUUCUCCAGCAAUGGGGUGCCGGCGACCCGCCUAGACGGGCCGGAAAGAUGUCCAAACUUGAUCAUUUAGAGGAAGUAAAAGUCGUAACAAGGUUUCCGUAGGUGA
rnacentral:rRNA from 4 species